rnacentral:lncRNA from 1 species
CGGGGCAUGACGGGCACCUCGGCUGGCACGUACUCCACCCUCCGGGGCUCGGGGCCUGAGGAGCAGAAGGUGGCCCUGGGCAGAUGCUCUGCGUGCGGGAGGCUGCGCUUUCAGUCAUUAUUUGGAUUUCGUUUUCCACAUGAAAAUAUUUAGAGAUCCAGCUCUUGGAAGCCAAGGAGAAACUGGCUUUUAAGUACCAUGGCUACUGUGACGUAUCCUGACUAAUGCCGACAGCACAGGGAGCCUUUGCCUGCCGGAGGAAGCGGUGAGGAAGAGGUGGUGCGUCGUGCACUUCCUGUUGCUGUUUUAGGACAGCUUGGACGUAGUUUGUUCCAGGGAAGUGCUGCUGAACCAGGUAAACCCAGCCCCCCAUCUCCAGGAGCAGAGGCUGCAAGGACAGGAAGACAAUGAGGCAAUGGUGUGCUGGGGGAAUCGUGCUAAAGUGAAAGCAUCCUUCGAUCAUUUUUAAGUCAUUCUAGGAUCUUCAGGGCAUCAAAGUUUUGCCUGUGAGCCUCAAUUGGUCUAAUACAAAAAUACAGACUGUGG